CCUACGGGUGGCAGCAGUGGGGAAUAUUGGGCAAUGGGCGCAAGCCUGACCCAGCAACGCCGCGUGAAGGAAGACGGCUUUCGGGUUGUAAACUUCUUUUCUCAGGGACGAAGCAAGUGACGGUACAUGAGGAAUAAGCCACGGCUAACUACGUGCCAGCAGCAGCGGUAAUACCUAGGUGGCAAGCGUUAUCCGGAUUUACUGGGUGUAAAGGGCGAGUAGGAGGGAAAGCAAGUCAGAUGUGAAAACCAUGGGCUCAACCUGUGGCCUGCAUUUGAAACUGUUUUUCUUGAGUACUGGAGAGGCAGACGGAAUUCCUGGUGUAGCGGUGAAAUGCGUAGAUAUUAGGAAGAACACCAGUGGCGAAGGCGGUCUGCUGGACAGCAACUGACGCUGAGGCGCGAAAGCGUGGGGAGCAAACAGGAUUAGAUACCCUAGUAGUC
rnacentral:rRNA from 1 species